rnacentral:rRNA from 1 species
UGCCUUAGUAACGGCGAGUGAAGCGGCAACAGCUCAAAUUUGAAAGCUGGCCCUUUCAGGGUCCGCGUUGUAAUUUGUAGAGGAUGAUUCGGCGAGGGCUCCCGCCUAAGUCCCCUGGAACGGGGCGUCAUAGAGGGUGAGAAUCCCGUAUGCGGUGGGCUGCCUUAGCCAUGUGAAUCUCCUUCGACGAGUCGAGUUGUUUGGGAAUGCAGCUCUAAAUGGGAGGUAAAUUUCUUCUAAAGCUAAAUACCGGCCAGAGACCGAUAGCGCACAAGUAGAGUGAUCGAAAGAUGAAAAGCACUUUGGAAAGAGAGUUAAAAAGUACGUGAAAUUGUUGAAAGGGAAGCGCUUGCAACCAGACUUGUCCGCAGUUGCUCAGCCGGUCUCCUGACCGGCGUACUCUUCUGCGGCCAGGCCAGCAUCAGUUCGGGCGGUCGGAUAAAGACCUCGGGAAUGUAGCUCCUCUCGGGGAGUGUUAUAGCCCGGGGUGGAAUGCGGCCAGCCUGGACUGAGGAUCUCGCUUCGGCAAGGAUGCUGGCGUAAUGGUUGUAAGCGGCCCGUCUUGAAACACGGACCAAGGAGUCUAACAUCUAUGCGAGUGUUUGGGUGUCAAACCCAUACGCGUAAUGAAAGUGAACGGAGGUGGGAACCCGCAAGGGUGCACCAUCGGCCGAUCCUGAUGUCUUCGGAUGGAUUUGAGCAAGAGCAUAGCUGUUGGGACCCGAAAGAUGGUGAACUAUGCCUGAAUAGGGUGAAGCCAGAGGAAACUCUGGUGGAGGCUCGCAGCGGUUCUGACGUGCAAAUCGAUCGUCAAAUUUGGGUAUAGGGGCGAAAGACUAAUCGAACCAU